rnacentral:rRNA from 1 species
CCUGGUUGAUCCUGCCAGUAGCAUAUGCUUGACUUGGAGAUUAAGCCAUGCAUGUCUAAGUAUAGUUAUAUACAGCAAAACUGCGAAUGGCUCAUUAAAUCAGUUAUAAUUUAUUUGAUGUUUUUUUUACAUGGAUAACCGUGGGAAACUAGGGCUAAUACAUGCAGAACCUUCGGGUGUACUUGUUAGUUUCAAAUCAAUAAGAAUUGAGGAACCAUAAUAAUUGAUCUAAGCGAAAUAUUUCGCUAAAUCAUUCAAGUUUCUGACCUAUCAGCUCUAGAUGGUAGUGUAUUGGACUACCAUGGCAGUAACGGGUAACGGAGAAUUAGGGUUCGAUUCCGGAGAGGGAGCCUGAGAAAUGGCUACCAUUUCUAUGGAAGGCAGCAGGCGCGUAAAUUACCCAAUCCUAAUUCAGGGAGGUAGUUAAUAGAAAUAACAGGUUCGUGCCUUUGGCAUUGAAUGUGUAAUGAACCAUAGUUAAAUAUAAUGGUAAAUACUAUUGGAGGGCAAGUCUGGUGCCAGCAGCCGCGGUAAUUCCAGCUCCAAUAGCGUAUAUUAAUUUUGUUGCAGUUAAAAAGCUCGUAGUUAAAAUUCGGCGCGUAAGCGUCUGUUCGUAAGAAUAAUCGAUACGUAAAACUAUCUGUUUUUCAAACGAAUCUUUACUGUGAAUAAACUAAAGUGCUCAAAGCAGGCUAUAGCUUGUAUAAGAAAGCAUGGAAUAAUAAAAAAAGGCUUUAUUCUUUUAU